rnacentral:rRNA from 1 species
GACGAACGCUGGCGGCGUGCUUAACACAUGCAAGUCGAACGGAAAGGCCCUGCUUUUGUGGGGUGCUCGAGUGGCGAACGGGUGAGUAACACGUGAGUAACCUGCCCUUGACUUUGGGAUAACUUCAGGAAACUGGGGCUAAUACCGGAUAGGAGCUCCUGCUGCAUGGUGGGGGUUGGAAAGUUUCGGCGGUUGGGGAUGGACUCGCGGCUUAUCAGCUUGAUGGUGGGGUGGUGGCUUACCAAGGCUUUGACGGGUAGCCGGCCUGAGAGGGUGACCGGCCACAUUGGGACUGAGAUACGGCCCAGACUCCUACGGGAGGCAGCAGUGGGGAAUAUUGCACAAUGGGCGGAAGCCUGAUGCAGCAACGCCGCGUGCGGGAUGACGGCCUUCGGGUUGUAAACCGCUUUCGCCUGUGACGAAGCGUGAGUGACGGUAAUGGGUAAAGAAGCACCGGCUAACUACGUG